rnacentral:rRNA from 1 species
UGGGGAAUAUUGCACAAUGGGCGCAAGCCUGAUGCAGCAACGCCGCGUGAACGAUGAAGGUCUUCGGAUCGUAAAGUUCUGUUGCAGGGGAAGAUAAUGACGGUACCCUGUGAGGAAGCCCCGGCUAACUACGUGCCAGCAGCCGCGGUAAUACGUAGGGGGCUAGCGUUAUCCGGAUUUACUGGGCGUAAAGGGUGCGUAGGUGGUCUUUCAAGUCGGUGGUUAAAGGCUACGGCUCAACCGUAGUUAGCCUCCGAAACUGGAAGACUUGAGUGCAGGAGAGGAAAGUGGAAUUCCCAGUGUAGCGGUGAAAUGCGUAGAUAUUGGGAGGAACACCAGUAGCGAAGGCGGCUUUCUGGACUGCAACUGACACUGGGGCACGAACGCGUGGGUAGCAAACAGG